rnacentral:rRNA from 1 species
AACGUAGGAGACAAACGUUAUCCGGAAUCAUUGGGCGUAAAGAGCGUGUAGGCGGUUCGGUAAGUCGGCUGUGAAAGUCCAGGGCUCAACCCUGGGAUGCCGGUCGAUACUGCCGGACUAGAGUUCGGAAGAGGCGAGUGGAAUUCCCGGUGUAGAGGUGAAAUUCGUAGAUAUUCGCAAGAACACCAGUGGCGAAGGCGGCUCACUGGUCCGGUUCUGACGCUGAGGCGCGAAAGCGUGGGGAGCAAACAGG